rnacentral:lncRNA from 1 species
UAUACUAAUAACAUACAAAAGGGACUUAAAGACAUUUUUUUUUCACUAAAGACAAAGAAGGACAUGUCAUAAUGAUAAAAGGGUCUGUUCAUCAGAAAGAAAUAGAAAUACAGAUGCACUUAACAGAGCUUCAAAAUUUAUGAAACAAAAGCUGACAAAACUGAAGGAUUCAAUACCUCACAUUCAAUAUCAAUAUAACUGGGCAGAAGAUCAAUAAGGGAAGAGAAGACAUAAACAAUCAGACUACAAACCAAUCAGACCUAACAGGCUUCUAUACAACACUACAAACCAAUCAGACCCAACAGGCUUCUAUACAACACUACAAACCAACCUCUGACCCAACAGGCAUCUAUACAACACACACACCAACCUCUGACCCAACAGGCAUCUAUACAACACUACAAACCAACCUCUGACCCAACAGGCAUCUAUACAACACUAGAAACCAAUCAGACCCAACAGGCAUCCAUAUAACACUACAAACCAAUCAGACCCAACAGGCUUCUAUGCAACACUACAAACCAAUGAGACCCAACACACAUCUAUACAACUCUACAAACCAAUCAGACCCAACAGGCAUCUAUACAACACUACAAACCAACCUCUGACCCAACAGGUGUCUAUACAACACUACAAACCAAUCAGACCCAACAGGCAUCUAUACAACACUCCACCCAACAAGAGCAGGAUAGAUAUUCUUCAACACUCUGGGACAGAAAAUACGGUAUGCCAAUAAAAUAACUCUCAAUACAUAUAAAAGACGAGAAAUCAUACAAUCUAUGUUUUUUAGCCAUAAUGGAGUGAAAUAAGAAAUCAGUAACAGGCCAGGUAUGGUAGCUCAUGCUUGUAAUCCCAGCACUUUGGGAGGCAAAAGUGGCAGGAUCACUUGAGCCCAGGAGUUCCAACACAGCCUGGGCAACAUAGUCGGACCCUGUCUCUACAACAAAAUUUUUAAAAAUUUAGCCAGGCUUGGUGGCUCAUGCCUGUAGUCUCAGCUACUCAGGAGGCUGAGGUGGGAGGUCAAGGCUGCAGUGAGCUGCGAUCACUGCACUGCACUCCAGCCUGGGAGAUAAAGUGAGAUCUUGUCUCUCAAAAAUAAGAAAAGAAGUCAAUAACAGAAGGAAACCUGGGAAAUUCACAUAUAUGUGGAAAUUAAACAACAAACUCUUAAAUAACCAAGAGAUAAAAGAAGAAAUCACCAGAAAAAUCAGAAUAUACUUUUAGAUUUAAAAAAGGGAAAACACAAUAUAGCAGAACUUAAGGGAUGAAGUAAAUCAGUGCUGAGAUAAAAAUUUAUAGCUACAAAUGUCUAUAUGAAAAAGAUUUCAAAUCAGUAAGCUAAUUUUCCAUCUUAAGAAACAAGAAAAAGAAGAGAAAAUAAAACCCAAAGCAACCCAAAGGAAAUAAUAAAGAUUACAGUGGAAAUUAACAAAAUAAAGAAUGGAAAAUCAUAGGGGAUAAUAAACAAAACCAGAAGUUGUUUCUUUAAAUAGAUCAACAAAAUUGAUAAAUCUUUAGCUAGACUAAGGGGAGUAAAAGAGAGAAGAAUCAAAUUACUAAAACCAGAAAAUACUAUGAAUAGGCUGGGAGCAUUGGCUAACAUCCACAAUCCCAGCACUUUGAGAGGUCAAGGUGGGAGGGUCACUUGAGGCCAGGAGUUUGACAAAGAUCAGCCUGGACAACACAGCAAGAUCCUGUCUCCACAAAAAAAUUUUAAAGAAAAUUAGGGCUGGGUGUGGUGGCUCAUGCCUGUAAUCCCAGCACUUUGCUAGGCUAAGACAGGAAAAUUUCUUGAGGCCAGGAGUUUGAGACCAGCCUAGCCAACAUAGUGAGACCCCAUCUCUACCAAAAAUAAGCUUUUAAAAAAUUAGCCAGUCAUACUGCCAUGCCCCUGUAGUCUUAGCUACUCAGGAAGCUGAGAUGGGAAGAUUGCUUGAGUCUGGGAGGUCAAAGCUGUAGUGAGCCAUGAUUGUGCUACUGUACUCCAGCCUGGGUGACAGAGCAAGACUCUGUCUCAAACAAAACAAAACCAAAGACAGAAAAUUAGCUGAAUGUGGUGGUGCAUGCCUGUGGUCCUUCCUACUGGGGAGGCUGAGGUCAGUAGUGACGUGACUAAAGCUAAAGACAUCACAAAAAGACUACAGCCCAAUAUCCCUCAUGAAUACAGAUGCAAAAUCCUAGCAAACCAAAGCCAGCAGCAUAGAAAAAGGAUUAUACACCAUGAACAAGUAGAAUUUGCCCCAUGAAUGCAAGGUCGGUUCAAUAUAUGAGAAACAAUGUAAUAUACUGUAUCACUAUAAUAAAGGACAAGAAUCAUACUAUCAUCUCGACAGAUGGAGAAAAAGCAUCUGACAAAAUUCAAUACUUUAUGACAAAAACACUCAACAAACUAGGAGGAGAAGGUAACUUUUUCAACCUGAUAGAAGCAUCUACACAAAACUGCAUUGUUAGCAUCACAUUCAAUGGUGAGAGACCGAAAGCUUCCCGCUAAGAUCAAGAGUAAGACGAGGAUGUCUGUUCUCACCACAUCUAUUCAACAUUGUCCUGGAGGUACUAGCCAGAGCAAUUAGGUAAGAGAAAUAAAAGAAAUCCAGAUUAGAAAGAAAGCUGUUUGCAGAUGACAUGAUUUUGUGUAUGGAAAAUCUUAGGGAACAUACAACUAAUUAGAAUGAAUAAACAAGUUCAGCAAGGAAUGCUGGAUACAAGAUCAAUACACAAAAGUCAGUUGUACUUCCACAUAUUAGCAAUGAUCAGCCCCAAAGUGAAAUUUGGAAAACAAUUACAUUUGUGAUUGCUUUUGUAAAUGCAAUUUAUAAUCUUUUAAUAAUUUAUAAUUGCAUUUAUAGUCCUUUUGGUUAUAAAUCAAAAAUAAUAAAAUAUGAGUAAAUUUAAC